rnacentral:rRNA from 1 species
AUUGAACGCUGGCGGCAGGCCUAACACAUGCAAGUCGAGCGGAUGAAGGGAGCUUGCUCCUGGAUUCAGCGGCGGACGGGUGAGUAAUGCCUAGGAAUCUGCCUGGUAGUGGGGGAUAACGUCCGGAAACGGGCGCUAAUACCGCAUACGUCCUGAGGGAGAAAGUGGGGGAUCUUCGGACCUCACGCUAUCAGAUGAGCCUAGGUCGGAUUAGCUAGUUGGUGGGGUAAAGACCUACCAAGGCGACGAUCCGUAACUGGUCUGAGAGGAUGAUCAGUCACACUGGAACUGAGACACGGUCCAGACUCCUACGGGAGGCAGCAGUGGGGAAUAUUGGACAAUGGGCGAAAGCCUGAUCCAGCCAUGCCGCGUGUGUGAAGAAGGUCUUCGGAUUGUAAAGCACUUUAAGUUGGGAGGAAGGGCAGUAAGUUAAUACCUUGCUGUUUUGACGUUACCAACAGAAUAAGCACCGGCUAACUUCGU